rnacentral:rRNA from 1 species
UCGGGAAUAUUGCGCAAUGGAGGAAACUCUGACGCAGUGACGCCGCGUAUAGGAAGAAGGUUUUCGGAUUGUAAACUAUUGUCGUUAGGGAAGAAAAAGGACAGUACCUAAGGAGGAAGCUCCGGCUAACUACGUGCCAGCAGCCGCGGUAAUACGUAGGGAGCAAGCGUUAUCCGGAUUUAUUGGGUGUAAAGGGUGCGUAGACGGGUUAGCAAGUUAGUUGUGAAAUCCCUCGGCUUAACUGAGGAACUGCAACUAAAACUGUUAAUCUUGAGUGCAGGAGAGGUAAGUGGAAUUCCUAGUGUAGCGGUGAAAUGCGUAGAUAUUAGGAGGAACACCAGUGGCGAAGGCGACUUACUGGACUGUAACUGACGUUGAGGCACGAAAGUGUGGGGAGCAAACAGG